CUUUACUGCAACUUGACGUUGGAACUUGGCUGUAUUUGUGUAGGAUAGGUGGGAGACUUUGAAGCAGGGCCGCCAGGUCUUGCGGGGUCGUCGUUGAAAUACCACCCUGGUGCUGACGAGUUUCUAACCGUGUCCGUAAGCCGGACAUGAGACAGCGUCUGGUGGGCAGUUUGACUGGGGCGGUCGCCUCCUAAAAGGUAACGGAGGCAUUCAAAGGUCCCCUCAGCGUGGUCGGUAAUCACGCGCAGAGUGCAAACGCAUAAGGGGGCUUAACUGCGAGACCGACAGGUCGAGCAGGUACGAAAGUAGGAGUUAGUGAUUCCGCGGUUUAGCGUGGAAUUGCCGUUGCUCAAUGGAUAAAAGGUA
rnacentral:rRNA from 1 species